rnacentral:rRNA from 1 species
UACGGAGGGGGCAAGCGUUAUUCGGAAUUAUUGGGCGUAAAGGGCGCGUAGGCGGCCACGUAAGUCAAAGGUGAAAGCCCUCGGCUCAACCGGGGAACUGCCUUUGAUACUGCAUGGCUCGAGGCCGGGAGAGGGUGGUGGAAUUCCCAGUGUAGCGGUGAAAUGCGUAGAUACUGGGAGGAACACCCGUGGCGAAGGCGGCCACCUGGACCGGAUCUGACGCUGAGGCGCGAAAGCGUGGGGAGCAAACAGG